UCCCCAAUGGCUCAGAGGGUAAAGCAUCUGCCUGGAAUGCAGGAGACCUGGGUUCGAUUCCUGGGUCAGGAA
rfam:Ovis aries breed Texel chromosome 3, whole genome shotgun sequence.